GACAGUAAAAGAUAAGAAAUCCGUAAAUCGUAGCAAGCCAGCCAAUGCUUGUCAGUAGCCUACUGGUACUCGGUAGGUCCUCAAGAUGGCGGCAUAACGUAAAAAGUCACAUGACUGAAACCCAUGUAUAUACUCACGAUCAGGGCUGGACUCGGAUUCUGGCCGGGCAAGUGCUGGUGGGCUGACGCACUUGGGGGCUGGUCGUUAUAAUAUGAUUUUUUUUUAUUGGCCAACGACCUAACCCACGAGACACCUAAUCAGCAGUCCAUUGGUUCUUUUUUAUUUCACUUUUAUCUACCCCAAACAUGCUCUUUGGGAGCAUGCAGUGUCAGUGUGUGCAUGCAUCUGUUAAAAAUAGAGACGAGGGAGAAGCAAGUGGAAGUGCGACUCAAAACAGUCAGUCAAAAGGUAUACUUACGAAGACAAAGAAACUCAGGGGAUAGCUCUUAAAAGACACUCACUGGAGCUGUAAAUGGGAAGCAGGUCACUUACUUUGCAUUCGUCCUUGGUGGUCACCCCAGGGUCUCUGGAGUGAAAAUUACUCAAUCUAUGGAUUAAACAGAAUAUUUAGUUGUAUGAAGUGCAAUUUGGGACAUUCUUCCAUUUGUCGGCAACUUUGUGAAAAAGGCUAGAAACUAAAAUGCAGAAUUCUGGCCUGGUGUUUGGUCUGUGCUGUCUUUGGCUCUUGCAUCGCCAUCAUCCUGACCCUCUUUAGCAGCCUGUCCAUGUAUUUAUUUGGAGGCCACCAUGAGCACCCAUCUGCAUAAUAUGACUUUGUUACUCAGAUGUCCAUGCGCUCCUACAAAUUCUACAUUUUUUGUAAAGCUGCAACAAGUUGAAACCCUAUAAUUAUUAACGUUUGAUUUUGAACUAUGUAAUUAAAAUACAUGAAUAAGUAACAAAAGCAGAAAUCUAUUAAGACAUUACCUUUUUGUUGCUUGUUUACUGAUCUAUCAAUCCUUUUGCAUUUUCAUAAUUGAUCAUCAUAACUUGGUAUACAGUGGAUGUGUGGCUGUAGAUAACUUUCUGAAGUCAAUUUAAAAAGACAAAAGUUAAUAAAUGCUGAAUUGGUCAAAUAUACAUUGUUGUAUUUCCACCAUUUUGAUGUUUAGGCAUUUCAUAACUUGAGGGUUAAUUCACGUAUACUGAUGUUUCAAAUCAAAGAUUAAUUUAUUAAUGACAGCUAAUUAUUUUAUAAAGAUUUUUAUUACAAUAUUUAUUUAUAUAAUAUAAAUUUAAUACAUUUAAUUCGUUACACCUACAUCACUGAGCGCAAGGGAGUGCAGCCAACAAAUACAUUCAGGUGUGUUUGACUUAACACCGAGAUGCGCAGACAGCACGUGGUAUGACAUCAAAGUACCGCGAGAGUUUGGGAAAGCCCCGGAAAAGGUUUGAACUCGCGGUAUUUGAUGAUCGGUUUGCGUGUAGAUCAGCAUGAAGUCGAACACAUCUGAAAGAUGUGUGGGCUGCCUGCACUCAACGUUGCGAUAAUUCAGUAGAGUGUAACCUAGUCGUUUUUUGCAGCUUCUGGGUGUCGUGUCGAACGAUAGCAGAACGAUCUUUUGUUCUUUUCCAACUCGAUUUUUAACUCCCUAAACUAGUAGGAUGUUCCAACGGGUGAAGCAACAGUGCUGACGGCAGAGUUUCAGUGUCAAUGCUCCGUCCUAGAAGGCUGCAUGUCUCGGCUGCCACGUCAUCAAGCAUCGUCGAAGGACAUCUCAAUCUGCUUGUUUUCUCUUUUGUUGUUUUAAUUUAAUUACAAAAUGUUUAACUGUCCAUGUUGUAAAGACAGUUGAUUACAUAACUUUUAUUUACUGUACUACAUUAUUGGAUUUUUUUUGGUGAUGCAUUGCUAAUUUUCAACUUCUCACUUUAAAGUUUUCAUGCCAUGAUCACUGGGGUGGAAACCAUUAUGACGUUGCCUUGGACAUCAAACUAAACCAUCUCAUUCUGGCUUUUUUCUAACAUCGAAAUCUCAGAAGGACAGGACUAAGAUGGACGCAGCCUCCACAGGAUGCAACCUUGCAUUUGAGGAACACCCAUAGAACGGUUAACCUAACCCAGUGUUUCUCAAACUUUUUCUGCCAUUCCCCACUUUGGAGGUAGGGAAGGGUUUCGAGCCCCACCUGUCCUUAAUCGCCCAAACAAAAUGGUAAUCAACUAGGCUUUAAGUUUAACUGUUAAAAUGUAUUUAAUCACAUCAUAUUAUAAACCAUAACAGCAUAAACACUUUCAAAAGAGCAAGAAAUGUGCAAAUGUGUUAUCCCUUUGCAUGAAAUUAGACUUUUUUCAAAUGUAAAAAAUAAUAUUGCAACUGUUUGCAUUUUGAUUCUUACAAAAUUCAUCAUACUUUCUUUUUGGCUGUCUUUUUGGUUUAUUAGGUCCACUGUCUGUCUUGGUUUUCUCUGCUGGUGCUGAAUCCAGUUUUCUUCUCAUUUCGUGUCACAAAACUAUCCAUUAUUAACUUUUAUACCCGCUACCACCUAUACCGCCUCUCUACAUUCAAGUUUUUGAUCAGCUUCAAUUAACAUUCCGACAUUACUGAUGUGUUUCGCGUGACAUUUUCUUCAAAGUCUGAUGUUGUUUUAAAUUUCCUCCCGUUUGUCAUGCCCCACUUGUAAUGUUCCCAUUCCCCACUAGUGGGGCCCGCCCCACACUUUGAGAAACUCUGACCUAACCUGAUACUCUAACCUGAAUGCAGGGAUCAUAAAACUUUAUCUUUUACCUUAAUUGUUAGAUGGGUGUCGAUACAAAACUUUUUUUUCUCGUCUACCCAGGAGAAAGUCAUGGGUUCUGCUGCUGAGGUUGUCAUAAAGCAUGCUUUUUCCAUUUGUUGCAUUGGGCAAUAUUAUCAAAAGAUUCUGAAAGAAAUAAGAUAAUUUUCAAAGCAUUAACAUGAAUAUGAAAGCAUUAGGUCAUUAAUGACCAUCUUUUAUUAUUGUUUAUUUACAGUGUCUUUAAUUCUGCUUACCUGACUCAUGCAGAAUUCUGGCUUGAUGUUCGGUCCACCUGUUAGCUGGCUCUGGUGCUUGGUAGUCUUCUCAAACCUCUGAAUCAAGGCCACCAUGAGAGGCCUUCUGAAGACCAUCAUUACGCUUCAGAUCCAGUUGUCUUUACUAUGAGAUGGGACUGAACUGGAGUCUGUGAACUAAUGCUGUGUUCGAGACAACUUGGAUGUUGGAUAUUAUUGACCUCAAACCCGUAAGAAGUCUGGAACAGCAAACAAAGUUGAGUAUCGGACCUCUCAACUUGGGACAGAUCGAUCAACACCGACCUAAACGAGAUGCAUCAUUUGACAUUGCAGACAAGUUUGUGGCUAGCCUUUCACAGCCUUACAUGAACCGUAAACAAACUUUAAACUAUUUUUACAGCACAUAAUAUUUAUGAACAUGAAUGUUAAAUUAUCCAGUAACCGUUUUCUGCCAUAAUUGGCACAAGAGCACAAACAACUUCUGGCGUCUCAUUAUGUGGUAAACACGCAAAUGUGAUAUGUGAUUGACUGGAAUGCAUUGAGGUCGGAGGUAGGAUAUUUAAUGACAUAACAUCAGAAAUCUGAGUUGUCUGUAACACUGUACAAUAUUUCACAUAAUUGUCACCACCUGAUUAUCCUCCCAUGUUUUUAACACAACCAUUGAUUGGUCACACGGAUGAAGGCAGCAAGCAGAGACAUUUAAUGUUAAAAAACACUUACAGUAGACUGUGUUAGAUAACUGUGCUCUUGGAAGUCAGCUUAAGUUAAUGUCAGGGUUUGGAACACUCAAAACACGAACCCAGAUGCAGACAUAAAUAACAAAGGAAUUUAUUAACAAAACCGGGGAAAACAGAAAAACAAAACCCACGAGGGGGCAAAACAAGACAAGGGAAAACAAUACUAAACUAACACUAAACUUAACAAAAACUAACAAUAAACUUCCAACACAUAAACAGAUCAAGACUUGGAUAUAUCAAAAACUUACAGGAACCGACAGGGAAUAAGACAAGACGAACGUGCACAGAACAGCAAACACAAGGACAAUAAAUAGGGAGAACUAAUGAGGGACACAGCUGAAAUCAAUGACAAGUAAGGGAGCGGGUAAAAAGUGACAAGACAAGAGAAACACGUGGCUGGGUAAAAACACUUGAUGCCACGUGUUCCCACACAAAACAUGAUACUGUCAGAACCCUGCCACAAAGACUAUAAUAUAAGACAUGAUUCUGACAGGAUCCUGACAGUACCCCCCCCUUAAGGAGCGACUACCAGACGCUCCUCAGGGGAACACUAAACACGGGACAUAACAGACUGACACACAGACAAAACCCAAGAAAACAUUACAAAUAGUAACAACGGUAAACAAGCAAUAAUGACAAAUGGGUUGGGGUGGGAUAAU